rnacentral:rRNA from 1 species
GAUGAACGCUGGCGGCGUGCCUAAUACAUGCAAGUCGAGCGAACAGACGAGGAGCUUGCUCCUCUGACGUUAGCGGCGGACGGGUGAGUAACACGUGGAUAACCUACCUAUAAGACUGGGAUAACUUCGGGAAACCGGAGCUAAUACCGGAUAAUAUAUUGAACCGCAUGGUUCAAUAGUGAAAGACGGUUUUGCUGUCACCUAUAGAUGGAUCCGCGCCGCAUUAGCUAGUUGGUAAGGUAACGGCUUACCAAGGCGACGAUGCGUAGCCGACCUGAGAGGGUGAUCGGCCACACUGGAACUGAGACACGGUCCAGACUCCUACGGGAGGCAGCAGUAGGGAAUCUUCCGCAAUGGGCGAAAGCCUGACGGAGCAACGCCGCGUGAGUGAUGAAGGUCUUCGGAUCGUAAAACUCUGUUAUUAGGGAAGAACAAAUGUGUAAGUAACUAUGCACGUCUUGACGGUACCUAAUCAGAAAGCCACGGCUAACUACGUG